UUUUCAUGCGAUUCAAAAAUGAUAGUGUGGAGUCAGAGCAAAGAUUGUGAACCCGUGGAAUGUGAAGAUCAUCUCGGUUGGUUGGUAAAAUUUAUUUGAUUUAAUGUGUUACCAAUAAAAAACUAAGUUAUGCUUGUAGGAAAAAUCAAAUUAAUUGUCUUAAUUUCUUGCUGCAAUGGAAAAAAAAAAUGGUUCCCUUUCAUUUAUGCUUGUAGGAAAAUCAGAAUGAUUGCUUUCAAGGUCAAUGGUUUGUUAGACCCCUGGAACCAUUAUGCACAUAAGUAGUUAAUAGUUACCCCUUCCUUUGUGCUUUAAUUAUCUUGAUUUGUAUCGCUACAAUGAAAUAUGAUUGCUAUUAUUUACCUGUAAGAAUUUCACUGCAUCGAAUAUGUAUAUUUACCAAAAUAAAAAGUACAUGGGAGGGGGGAUUGCUCAUGAAUUUCUAAGAUUGGUCCUAAUUGUAUAAUGGCUUGCUCAAAUUGGUUGCCUAUGUUGUGAAGCCUACAUACCAAAUAAUUUUCACACACCUUAUCAUUAUUUAAGAUUUGCAUAGAAAAAGGAGGACACACUUGUUAUUGCAAAGGGAAACUCUUUUUUGUUAAUAGCUUGUGUUAUAUGAAAGUGUUCUCUCAUGAUUUUGCGCUUAUCCUGUGUUUCUGACUGCAGAUUCCUUGUCCGCAAUGAUAUGCCUCUCAGAGUGCUUCCCAAGUUUAUUGGGGUUCAACUUGUUAACUUUCAUAUUCAAUUGUAUUUCAAGAACACUACACCUCUCAUUGAUAAGCAGAGCUGCAGUUUUUUCUUUUUGUUUCCCAAAUUAUUUGCCUACCUUGUGUUUGUAAGAACUUCAAUUCUAGCACUGUUGCAGAGGCUUUGAUGCGGAGAAUAAGGGUGACAAUGGAGAUCUUCACACAGCCUACACUGGCAAAGGGAAAGGAGACGACUCUGAAUCAUUAAUGUGUUACCAGUAAGAGUUCCAUUGAAUUAGAUACUUUUAAUUCCUAGUCAAUUGGCGGACAUACCUUUGUUUUAAUUUGAGCCUCUAUGAAGAGGACUAAGGGCUGGUUUGGUAUU